rnacentral:lncRNA from 1 species
CUCCUGCCUCAGGUGCAGAAAUACAGCUAUUUCCAGUUCCAGCUGUUGAGCCAGUGCCAGCACCAGGGGCAGAGCCCCCUCCAGGACAGUGCUGGAGCUAGGGGAAUCUCCAGGGCCCUCCUGCCGCUGCCCUGGGACUGCCCAGGACAAACCCAGUGAGAAGCUGCCUGACUUCAUGGCACCUCCUGUAGAGCCACCGGCCUCAGCCCUGGAGCUGAAAGUGUGGCUGGAGCUAGAGGUGGCAGAGAGGGGGUGACCAGCACAGCUCCAGCCAGCAGCUCCCACACUGCUCCCAGUCCUGGGCACGGUGGAAGAUAUGGAGGCAGAGACCAGGGUGUGCAACCUGGGCUCCUCUGCCUCACUGGAGAGGAACUUCUCUCACUGAGCAGAGCAGCAGCCCUGCUGCUGAAGGGCCUGCUGCUACUGCUGCUGGGGGUGUUUGCCUGCCUGCAGGAGGUGCUGGAGAGCAAGAAAAGGAGCCUGUGAGCAGGUGUUCCAGCAGGUCCUCCUGCUCCCAGAGGCGACCUCCUCCUCCAGGCAUGGAGGUUUGCCCUCAGCUGGGCAUCUGGGCCAUUUGCCUCUAAUGUGCUGCCCAGGAUGGCCCCUUCUAGACAGGCAGACAGGGGUUGAGGGGGCCAGGGGGCAUCUCCAAAGGAAGCUUUUAAACUCAGCAGCUGCACCCUAGAAUCUCCAUGCCUGCACCUGCCCAAGGAUUUAUUCAUAGCUUAACUAAGAAUUUCAAAUUUCUACCAUAACACUGAAAUAAAGCUUGAUUUUUUGAAACUUC